UUCUUUGUUCUUCUCGACGAAGAUGUAGACGAACUCGAGCUUCGCUGAAGAAGAUUUGUCCGCUAGAUUUGAUUUUGUGGAGAACGCCACUCCCACGCAGAGCUCCACGGGAGAGCGCGCAGUGAGAAUCGGAGAAUGACCUCGAUGUUGAUAUUUUGUGAUGAAAUGGAAGAAUCGGUACAGGGGAAAGUAUUUAUAAUAGGUAUUUAGAGUUCAGGGACUGCACUGAAUUAGUUGUCGGACAAGAUCUUCUUCCUCUCAUCGUCCCCUGUACGAAUGAACUGUGAAACUGAAGCGGAGGGGCAAUUGCGUCAAUUCCAAUACACUCUGGAGAACGUUCUUAACUUGCCUUCGUUUCCCGGGUUUACGACUUUUUACAUUACAGGCCGCAACGUGUUGACCCCAUGACCUGUCGUGCUGUGGGUAGCACCUGGUUUUCGCUUUUCUGGGUAUUUGUUUAUGUAAAAACAAACUCUAAAUUGAAUAUUCAUUUUUCCAAAGUAACAGCAAAAAGACCAAACUAAUUUUGGAUACAAAGAUUAUGAUGAGUGUCUAUAAACUCUAAUGUCCACAUUACUCAGCUCAUUAUCAUAAAAUUUAAUGGUUUUUAAUAUUUUAUCAUUUUCAUUUAUGUAUGUAAUAAUAAUAUAAUCUCAUCGGAUUCCUUUCUUCCGUGAUGGGAAUUAAUAACUUCAAAAGAGUCUCUUUAUUUCCUUGAGGAAUAAAACUUCAUAUUAAUGAUGCAUCACAUUCUGCAAAAUUGAAUUAUAGAAGCUAUCCCAUAAAUUGAUAUCAUAUUGUCAAACAAUAAAAAAUACAUUUUAAUCAUUAUAAUGGUUAAUGAUGUUAAAAAAAUUAUAAUUUAUAAUUUCAUUGAAAUAUACACAAUUAUAAAAUAGAAAUAUACAAGCUUUAAUACAAUUAUUUGACAUGACUGGCUAAAUUAUUUCGGUUCAAUUAUGAUGUGAGUUAAGAACUUUGAACGAUCUCACAUAUUUAAAAGUAACCGUUUGUGAUGUUUGAUAAAUUAUGACAAAAAUGAGACCUCAAUCCCUAACAAAGAAAAUGAAGGAUGAUAUUUGUAAAAACUGGGUAUGAAUUCGGUACAAAAAUUCCACGUGCCCAAUGAAUCUGAGUUGGCGGUCGAAGAUGAACAAAUGUUUCACUUGACCAACGAAUUUUAGGUUGUUGGGAAUGACUAGGAGAUAUCACCAUCGGUCUCUCCAUUGCAAUCCCGGAUGUCGCUCAUCUUGAUCAUAGAAGUUGUGGUUCGCUCGGACAUCGACCCUCAUUUUUAGAGAAUCUUCAUCGUGCCAUUUCGCCUUGCAAAAUAGCAGAACGUCUCCUUCAAAUUCCAACCCAAAAACCCUAUUUCAAAACAAUCUCCAAAACUCGAUCAACACCAAUUUCAACGGCCUGCAGCAGUGGAAUCUAGUAACUGGCAACUUCGAAAUUCAUCAACAAAGUGUAAAGGCCCAGAUCGUAGUAGGAAUCCACUAGUCCUAAUUUAGAGCGUUACUCGAUGGAUGAAAGGACAGUGAACAAGGAACACGGUCUCCAGUCCCAUUCUCCAACAUCUGACCUUCCUGCACUUGCAGCACAAGUAUGAAACGAAACAAGACAUGCGAGCAACUGAAGAUUACUCGAUGAAAUGUAAUAGACAAGAUGUGGUGGCAGUUUCACGAUCCUGGCUAAGAACUUUCUUCAAUGGUUGACUAAUGAAUCAAAUUAAACUUCUAUUUAUCCAACUUGUUGGUAGAAAAGUUCUUGAGCUCAAUCCUCAGAAGCAAGAUUGGAACGGAAGACCGUCCAAUAAAAAACGGAAACAAGGAGGUGAGGAGGUCUACCUACACAUACCUAACGUCAAACCUAAAGGAAGACGAGUGAAGUCUGGGAUUCUUCGUUCUAUACCUUGCAGUAUGCAUCAAACAUAGCAAGAAGGAAGUAUGAAAGGAACUGAUAAAUGAGACGUUAAUAAAUCAUGCACUCGACAAGAAGACAGAGUAAGAUUACAUACCCAAGCCAAGAGUCUUCUUUUGCUGGUGCGGUUUGGAAAUGAAAAGAACCAAAAAGAUAAUGCCAGCGAUAGAAAAGCCGCUGUCAGAAUAAAUAACAAAAGAAAGUGUAGCAUCAACUGUCUAACUUUCCAUCACCAUUUCCUUAGUACAGCUUCAGCUGUCUAACUUUCACCGUUGCUAAAACACUCCCAAGACAUAAUACAUCAAACAAAUGGCGUCAAGAAACUGGAAUUACUAGUAAUUAUAUGACAUUUCGAUCAGGUUCAUGAGACGUAAGAGGGACUAUGUGAAUAUAGAUUUCAUGUCAUAUGGCAUUACUAAGAACCUCUGCAGUUCGAACUGGAAAACUCGCACGUAAUGUAAAUGCAUAUUUUGUUUCCAGGAAAUCCUCCAAGUUUGAGUAGCCAACAAUACUUGCAGUUCCCUAGAAUCAUACUAUUCCAAGAUGUAAGGAUUCUUACUUCUUGCCUUAUCAGCAAAGUGGAUUUGGUUUGUAUUAGUGCUUCUGUCUUCAGGCUUUUUGCUUCCACAAGCGAGCAAACUGAAACACCAAUGACCUUGUUUAACAAUCUUGCCAGAAUUAUCCUUCAUCAAUCUUUAGAGACACUUUGAAGAAUCAUUGGCAAAUUGCAAAAAGCUAGGUUCUAAAAUAAAGCUGUUCAUGGUGACGCUCAAUAACAAUCGAGCAGAAACACUGCAUUCAUAAUGGCAAUUCUGUAACCCUGAAAAAACUUGUGUUACGUUCGAUUUCAUUGGCAUUUGGCAUAAGUUACUGUUCUAAUCCACCAGCAGAUUAGACAUUCCUGUAGAGAUAUUACAACAAAUUUACACACCUAAGAAGGAUCCUCAACUUCAAGCUCGAUUCAAUGGAGGGGGAAAUAGUAAUUUACCGAAAUCGCAACUCAAUUCAGCAGCCGAAUCCUCCAUUUCCGCCGCGCUCUUUCUCAAUCUGCAGUCUCUGCUUCUCGGCGAGCUUCUCCAGAGCAGAUUCCACGGCGUCUCGGCCAUUUAUGAGAAGCUGCGUCACGAUCUCCGGAUCCUUCUCGAACCGAGCUUCGUCAAACUCCUUCCUCGCGUUCUCUCUCAG
rnacentral:lncRNA from 1 species